GGCGACGUAGCUUAGUUGGUUAGAGCGGCCGGUUCAUACCCGGCAGGUCAGCGGUUCGAAUCCACUCGUCGCUACCA
rnacentral:tRNA from 1 species